rnacentral:tRNA from 1 species
UUUAAAGUAACAUAAAUAAUGUGGUAGAUUUAAGUCCUGCUUAUAGCCCAGCUCUUUAAAA